UGGUGGGAAUGAGAGAGAGAUGAGAGGGGAGGAUAAGAGGAAAGAGUAACAAAACAGAAAACAAUUUCAAAUAUAUUUCAGUUUUUAGUUUUUGUUUUCACUUUUGUUACUCCUCCUUCCCAUUCUCCCCUCUCAUCUUCCCUCUCAGUCUUCACU
rnacentral:miRNA from 1 species